rnacentral:misc_RNA from 1 species
CAGCGUGCAGUGAGCAGUGCGCCGGAGACCAUGGCGGCGGUCCUCUCCAGGGACUCUCCCGACAUCGAGAACCUACUGGCUCUCAACCCAAAGAUUUCUCCACACGCCACCGUGGUGCCAACGGUAGUGACGAAGAAAAACAAACUGAAGUGGAAGAGAAAUGCCAAUAAAUCAUGUGAGGGUUGCAGGCCGCUGGAGAAGAACUUCGACGACAUCAAGCACACGACGCUGAGCGAGCGUGGUGCACUGAGGGAGGCGGCGCGCUGCCUCAAGUGCGCAGACGCCCCCUGCCAGCUCUCCUGCCCCACGCGCAUCGACGUCAAGAGCUUCAUCACCAGCAUCGCCAACCAGAACUACUACGGCGCAGCGAAGACCAUCUUGUCCGAGAACCCGCUGGGGCUGACGUGCGGCAUGGUGUGCCCCACCAGCGACCUCUGCGUGGGCGGAUGUAACCUGCAGGCGUCCGAGGAGGGUCCCAUCAACAUCUCCGGCCUGCAGCAUUUCGCCGUCCAGGUAUUUCAAAAGAUGAAACUGGCUCAGACGAAGGCCCCUGGGCAGAGCGUGAAAUUCGCCGACGCAAAGAUAGCACUCGUCGGCGCCGGGCCUGCAUCUCUGUCGUGCGCCACCUACCUGGCCAGGAUGGGCUACAACAACAUCACCAUCUUCGAGAAGCAGAGCUACACCGGAGGCCUCAGUUCCUCCGAAAUACCACAGUACCGCCUGCCGUACGACGCCGUUAUGUUUGAAGUGGAGUUGGUCAAGGAUCUCGGAGUAAAAUUUGAGUACAACCGGGUGCUGUCUACCAAUGAUCUCACAUUACAGAAACUGAAAUCUGAUGGAUACGAAGUGAUUUUCCUGGGCAUCGGUCUUCCACACCCUAAAUUGAGCCCCAUAUUUGAGGGUCUCACGGCGGAUAUGGGUUUCUUCACUUCAAAGGACUUCCUCCCUGCAGUUUCCAAGGGAAGUAAACCAGGAAUGUGCUGCCAGGGAGCGCGCCUGCCGGAGCUGCGGGGCGUGGUGACGGUGCUGGGCGCCGGAGACACAGCCUUCGACUGCGCCACCUCCGCCCUGCGCUGCGGCGCCCGCAAGGUCUUCGUCGUCUUUCGAAAGGGCUUCCGCAACAUCCGAGCCGUGCCCGAAGAGGUGGACCUGGCCAGAGAAGAGAAGUGUGAGUUCAUCCCUUUUCAUUCGCCGAGAAGGGUGAUAGUCAAAGGUGGCAACAUCGUCGGUAUAGAAUUCUGCAGAACUGAGCAGGGGGAAGACGGCACGUGGAUAGAGGAUGAAGACCAAAUCAUAAAACUCAAGACCAAUUUUAUAAUUUCGGCCUUUGGCUCAGGUCUCUAUGACGAAGACGUGAAGAAGGCAAUGUCUCCUCUGAAGUGGACAAAGUACGGGCUGCCAGAGGUGGAUUACAGCACCACGGCCACCAGCGAGCCCGGAGUAUUCUGCGGUGGAGACCUGUCGGGUGCCACCGAAACCACUGUGGAAGCUGUCAACGAUGGCAAGACUGCUGCCUGGAGUAUUCACAAGUAUAUACAGGAGCGGCGCGGGGCGGCGGUGCCAGGCGCGGCGGUGUUGCCGCGCUUCCACAGCGCCAUCGACGACGUGGACGUGGGCGUGACAGUGUGCGGCCUGCGCUUCCAGAACCCGUUCGGGCUGGCGUCCGCGCCGCCCGCCACCACCAGCGCCAUGAUCCGCAGGGCCUUCCAGCAGGGCUGGGCCUUCGCCGUCACCAAAACCUUCUCCCUCGACAAGGACUGCGUGACCAACGUGUCUCCCCGCAUCGUGAAGGGCACCACGUCGGGUCAUCACUACGGACCACAGCAGUCGUCGUUCCUCAACAUCGAGCUCAUCUCGGAAAAGUCGGCAGCCUACUGGUGCCGCAGCAUCACCGAACUCAAACAAGAGUUCCCAGAAAAGGUGGUGAUCGCCAGCAUCAUGUGUAGCUUCAACGAGAGCGACUGGACGGAGCUAAGCCAGAUGGCGGAAGCUUGCGGCGCAGACGCCCUCGAGCUCAACUUGUCGUGUCCACACGGCAUGGGAGAGUCGGGCAUGGGGCUCGCCUGUGGCCAGGAUCCGAAUCUGGUGCGCAGCAUUGCUACGUGGGUGAGAGCCGCUGUGAAAAUUCCGUUCUUCGUCAAACUGACGCCCAACAUCACCGACAUCGUCAGCAUCGCCAGAGCGGCUUACGAAGGCAAGGCGGACGGGGUGUCGGCGAUCAAUACGGUGUCGGGGCUGAUGCGGCUGCACGCGGACGGGUCGCCGUGGCCGGCGGUGGGCUCGCAGCGGCGCACCACGUACGGCGGCGUGUCGGGCGCGGCUACGCGGCCCAUGGCUCUGCGGGCCAUCUCGGCCGUGGCGCGAGAGCUGCCGGGCUUCCCCAUCCUCGGCAUCGGCGGCGUCGACUCUGCCGACACCGCCUUCCAGUUCCUCAGCGCCGGCGCCUCCGUCGUCCAGGUGGGAAGUGCUAUACAGAACCAGGACUUCACCUUGAUUGAAGACUACGUGACGGGCCUCAAGACGCUGCUCUACCUACGCUCCAUAGAAGAGCUCAGCUCGUGGGACGGCCAGUCUCCUCCGACGGAAAAACAUCAGAAAGGAAAGCCGGUCGUUUCUCUCCAGAACAUCCUCGGAAAGAAUUUGCCUCAAUUCGGCGAGCAUCUACAGAGACGAGAGGAGAUCAUAGCGGAGAUGAAGAGGAAGCAGGAGCCCCUGGGUGCAAGCAAACCCUCCGAGCCGCUGAGGCCUGCGCAUCAACCGCGUAAGCCGGUGCCCAGCGUCCAGGAUAUCGUGGGGCAGGCGCUGCCACACAUCGGCGCCUACAAGGCUCUCGACAACACCAAGCAAGUCGUCGCCGUCGUGGACGAGGACCUGUGCAUCAACUGUGGGAAGUGCUAUAUGGCGUGCAACGACUCUGGCUACCAGGCCAUCCAGUUCGACCCUGAGACGCACAUGGCGCGGGUCACGGACGACUGCACGGGCUGCGCCCUCUGCCUCUCCGUCUGCCCCAUCAUCGACUGCAUCACCAUGGUUCCGAGGACAACACCGCACAUAAUCAAGCGUGGUGUGCCUUUCGCAAACGGGACACUCGAGCCAGUGUACUGACAAAUUGGUGCAUCGCAGUCCUUACAGCAGGUUUCGUGAUUCACAAGCGAGAAAGUUCAGCACUUGACCACCUAUUACAGGUACAAGGGUUGGUUGCCUACUUAUUCUGAUAUUGCAUAU